AUCAUUUCUAUUGUACAUGCGAUGCAUUUUCGCAAAAGAAUCUUAUUCAUUUCAUCAAAUAAAGUAUAUUCAGCCGACUCGCUCACAAGUAAAAUGAUGUCAGAAGGAGUUGAUGAUGCUUACUUCGUGAGUGAAAGUUUGACGAACUACACAAAUUUAUUCCAUGAAAAUAUCAUUUAUUUCUAUAAAAUAUUCAAUUCUUUGUUCCUAACAAUUCGUCUGAAUAUAUAUGUACCUGUAAAAUAUUUCCUUUCCAAAGACAUUUCAUCAAUAAAUAUAUACACCUUGCACUGUUAAGCACAUCAACUGUCACCGAACACUCUGGUGAGGAUAUCUUAUCUUAUUAUAAUCUUAUUUUCCCUUUUUUUUCUUUUCUACUUUUUUAUAUUAUAUACUAUAUCUUUAUUUACCAAAUUCAUAACAACUAUAGGCAUACAACAUAUAAACUACACAAAGUAUACAUAGAUAGCAGAAG
rnacentral:lncRNA from 1 species